rnacentral:rRNA from 1 species
UGGGGAAUAUUGCACAAUGGGCGAAAGCCUGAUGCAGCAACGCCGCGUGAGUGAUGAAGGCCUUCGGGUUGUAAAGCUCUGUCUUUUGGGACGAUAAUGACGGUACCAAAGGAGGAAGCCACGGCUAACUACGUGCCAGCAGCCGCGGUAAUACGUAGGUGGCAAGCGUUGUCCGGAUUUACUGGACGUAAAGGAUGCGUAGGCGGAUUUUUAAGUGAGAUGUGAAAACCCUAAGCUUAACUUGGGGACUGCAUUUCAUACUGGAAAUCUAGAGUGCGGGAGAGGAGAAUGGAAUUCCUAGUGUAGCGGUGAAAUGCGUAGAGAUUAGGAAGAACACCAGUGGCGAAGGCGAUUUUCUGGACCGUAACUGACGCUGAGGCAUGAAAGCGUGGGUAGCAAACAGGAUUAGAUACCCUGGUAGUCCACGCCGUAAACGAUGAGUACUAGGUGUAGGAGGUAUCGACCCCUUCUGUGCCGCAGUUAACACAAUAAGUACUCCGCCUGGGAAGUACGAUCGCAAGAUUAAAACUCAAAGGAAUUGAC